rnacentral:tRNA from 1 species
GGGCGAGUGGUGGAAUUGGUAUACACGCAGGACUUAAAAUCCUGUGACAGAAAUGUCUUGAGGGUUCGAGUCCCUCCUCGCCCA